GACGAACGCUGGCGGCGUGCCUAACACAUGCAAGUCGAACGGAAAGGCCCUGCUUUUGUGCUGUGCUGGAGUGGCGAACGGGGGAGUAUCACGUGUGUAACCUGCCCUUGACUUUGGGAUAACAUAAGGAAACUGGGGCUAAUACAGGACAGGAGAUCCUGCUGCAUGGUGGGGGUUGGAAAGUGUCGGCGGUUGGGGAUGGACUCGCGGAUUAUCAGCUUGUUAGUGGGGUAGUGGCUUACCAAGGCUUUGACGGGUAGCCGGCCUGAGAGGGUGACCGGGCACAUUGGGCCUGAGGUAGGGCCCAGAGUGCUACGGGAGACAGCGGGGGGAAACAUUGCACAAUGGGCGGAAGCCGGAUACAGAAGCGUCGCGUUCGGAAUGACGGUCUUCUGGUUGUAAACCGCUUCCGCCUGUGACGAAGCGUGAGUGACGGUAAUGGAUAAAGAAGCACCGGCUAACUACGUG
rnacentral:rRNA from 1 species